AUUGAACGCUGGCGGCAUGCUUUACACAUGCAAGUCGAACGGUAACAGGCCUUCGGGUGCUGACGAGUGGCGAACGGGUGGGUAAUGCAUCGGAACGUGCCCAGAGGUGGGGGAUAACGCAGCGAAAGCUGUGCUAAUACCGCAUGUGGUCUGAGGAUGAAAGCGGGGGACCAGGCAGCAAUGUUUGGCCUCGCGCCUUUGGAGCGGCCGAUGUCAGAUUAGGUAGUUGGUGGGGUAAAGGCCUACCAAGCCGACGAUCUGUAGCUGGUCUGAGAGGACCAAUCGCUACAUUGUCACUGAGACACGGCACCGACUCCGACGGGAGGCCGCGGUGCGGAAUUUUGCACGAGGCGCGCAAGCCUGAUCCAGCAAUGCCGCGGGAGGGAAGAAGGACUUCGGGUGGUAAACUGCUGUUGUACGGAACGAAAAGGAUCUGGCUAAGAGCUGAGGCUGAUGACGGUACCGUAAGAAGAAGCACCGGCUAACUACGUG
rnacentral:rRNA from 1 species